CGAGGCGUGGCUCAGCUUGGUAGAGCGCUACAUUAGGGAUGUAGAGGUCGCAGGUUCAAAUCCUGUCGCCUCGA
rfam:Firmicutes bacterium CAG:102 genomic scaffold, scf137